AUACCGGCAGCUCAAGUGAUGGCCGCUGUUAUUGGGCCUAAAGCGUCCGUAGCCGGCCGCACAAGUCCGUCGGGAAAUCCACCCGCCUAACGGGUGGGCGUCCGGCGGAAACUGUGCGGCUUGGGACCGGAAGACUCGAGGGGUACGUCCGGGGUAGGAGUGAAAUCCCGUAAUCCUGGACGGACCGCCGGUGGCGAAAGCGCCUCGAGAAGACGGAUCCGACGGUGAGGGACGAAAGCUAGGGUCUCGAACCGGAUUAGAUACCCGGGUAGUCCUAGCCGUAAACGAUGCUCGCUAGGUGUGGCGCAGGCUACGAGCCUGCGCUGUGCCGUAGGGAAGCCGUGAAGCGAGCCGCCUGGGAAGUACGUCCGCAAGGAUGAA
rnacentral:rRNA from 2 species